AACGAACGCUGGCGGCAUGCCUAACACAUGCAAGUCGAACGAGACCUUCGGGUCUAGUGGCGCACGGGUGCGUAACGCGUGGGAACCUGCCCUUAGGUUCGGAAUACCUCCCCGACAUGGGUGCUAAUACCGGAUAAUUUCUUCGAACCAAAGAUUUAUCGCCUUUGGAUGGGCCGGCGUUGGUUUAGCUUGUUGGUAGUGUAAAAGCCUACCACGGCGACGAUCCAUAGCUGGUCUGAGAGGAUGAUCAGCGACACUGGGACUGAGAUACGGCCCAGACUCCUACGGGAGGCAGCAGUGGGGAAUAUUGGACAAUGGGCGAAAGGAUGAUCCAGCAAGGCCGCGUGAGUGAUGAAGGCCUUAGGGUUGUAAAGCUCUUUUACCCGGGAUGAUAAUGACAGUACCGGGAGAAUAAGCACCGGCUAACUCCGUG
rnacentral:rRNA from 1 species